rnacentral:rRNA from 1 species
CAGUCGCCACGGGAAUACGUAGGGUGCAAGCGUUAAUCGGAAUUACUGGGCGUAAAGCGUGCGCAGGCGGUUAUAUAAGACAGAUGUGAAAUCCCCGGGCUCAACCUGGGAACUGCAUUUGUGACUGUAUAGCUAGAGUACGGCAGAGGGGGAUGGAAUUCCGCGUGUAGCAGUGAAAUGCGUAGAUAUGCGGAGGAACACCGAUGGCGAAGGCAAUCCCCUGGGCCUGUACUGACGCUCAUGCACGAAAGCGUGGGGAGCAAACAGGAUUAGAUACCCCAGUAGUCCCUGUCUCUUAUCC